rnacentral:rRNA from 1 species
UACGGAGGGUGCGAGCGUUGUCCGGAAUCACUGGGCGUAAAGGGCGCGUAGGCGGCCUGAUAAGUAGGGGGUGAAAUCCUGCGGCUUAACCGCAGGGCUGCCUUCUAAACUGUCAGGCUCGAGCACAGUAGAGGCAGGUGGAAUUCCCGGUGUAGCGGUGGAAUGCGUAGAUAUCGGGAAGAACACCCGUGGCGAAGGCGGCUCUCUGGGACGGUACUGACGCUGAGACACGAAAGCGUGGGGAGCAAACAGG